UCGAGAAUAAUUCACAAUGGGGGCAACCCUGAUGGUGCAACGCCGCGUGGAGGAUGAAGGUCUUCGGAUUGUAAACUCCUGUCAUCCGGGAGUAAGACCUGGCGGUUAACAGCCGACAGGGUUGAUAGUACCGGAAGAGGAAGGGACGGCUAACUUCGUGCCAGCAGCCGCGGUAAUACGAAGGUCCCGAGCGUUGUUCGGAAUCACUGGGCGGAAAGGGAGCGUAGGCGGCGGGGUAAGUCAGACGUGAAAUCCCGGGGCUCAACCCCGGAGCUGCGUCCGGUACUGCCAUGCUUUGAGGGUGGGAGAGGUAGCUGGAAUUCUUGGUGUAGCAGUGAAAUGCGUGGAUAUCAAGAGGAACACUCGUGGCGAAAGCGAGCUACUGGACAACACCUGACGCUGAGGCUCGAAGGCCAGGGGAGCGAAAG
rnacentral:rRNA from 1 species